rnacentral:rRNA from 1 species
AACGAACGCUGGCGGCAGGCCUAACACAUGCAAGUCGAGCGAGGACUUCGGUCCUAGCGGCGGACGGGUGAGUAACGCGUGGGAACGUGCCCUUUGCCUCGGAAUAGCCCUGGGAAACUGGGAGUAAUACCGGAUGAGCCCUUUGGGGGAAAGAUUUAUCGGCGAAGGAUCGGCCCGCGUUGGAUUAGGUAGUUGGUGGGGUAAUGGCCUACCAAGCCGACGAUCCAUAGCUGGUUUGAGAGGAUGCUCAGCCACACUGGGACUGAGACACGGCCCAGACUCCUACGGGAGGCAGCAGUGGGGAAUCUUAGACAAUGGGGGAAACCCUGAUCUAGCCAUGCCGCGUGAGCGAUGAAGGCCUUAGGGUUGUAAAGCUCUUUCAGCUGGGAAGAUAAUGACGGUACCAGCAGAAGAAGCCCCGGCUAACUCCGUG